UUAAGCGACUAAGCGUACACGGUGGAUGCCCUGGCAGUCAGAGGCGAUGAAGGACGUGCUAAUCUGCGAUAAGCGUCGGUGAGGUGAUAUGAACCGUUAUAACCGGCGAUUUCCGAAUGGGGAAACCCAGUGUGUUUCGACACACUAUCAUUAACUGAAUCCAUAGGUUAAUGAGGCGAACCGGGGGAACUGAAACAUCUAAGUACCCCGAGGAAAAGAAAUCAACCGAGAUUCCCCCAGUAGCGGCGAGCGAACGGGGAGGAGCCCAGAGCCUGAAUCAGUGUGUGUGUUAGUGGAAGCGUCUGGAAAGGCGUGCGAUACAGGGUGACAGCCCCGUACACAAAAAUGCACAUAUUGUGAGCUCGAUGAGUAGGGCGGGACACGUGGUAUCCUGUCUGAAUAUGGGGGGACCAUCCUCCAAGGCUAAAUACUCCUGACUGACCGAUAGUGAACCAGUACCGUGAGGGAAAGGCGAAAAGAACCCCGGCGAGGGGAGUGAAAAAGAACCUGAAACCGUGUACGUACAAGCAGUGGGAGCCUCUUAAUGGGGUGACUGCGUACCUUUUGUAUAAUGGGUCAGCGACUUAUAUUCUGUAGCAAGGUUAACCGAAUAGGGGAGCCGAAGGGAAACCGAGUCUUAACUGGGCGUUAAGUUGCAGGGUAUAGACCCGAAACCCGGUGAUCUAGCCAUGGGCAGGUUGAAGGUUGGGUAACACUAACUGGAGGACCGAACCGACUAAUGUUGAAAAAUUAGCGGAUGACUUGUGGCUGGGGGUGAAAGGCCAAUCAAACCGGGAGAUAGCUGGUUCUCCCCGAAAGCUAUUUAGGUAGCGCCUCGUGAAUUCAUCUCCGGGGGUAGAGCACUGUUUCGGCAAGGGGGUCAUCCCGACUUACCAACCCGAUGCAAACUGCGAAUACCGGAGAAUGUUAUCACGGGAGACACACGGCGGGUGCUAACGUCCGUCGUGAAGAGGGAAACAACCCAGACCGCCAGCUAAGGUCCCAAAGUCAUGGUUAAGUGGGAAACGAUGUGGGAAGGCCCAGACAGCCAGGAUGUUGGCUUAGAAGCAGCCAUCAUUUAAAGAAAGCGUAAUAGCUCACUGGUCGAGUCGGCCUGCGCGGAAGAUGUAACGGGGCUAAACCAUGCACCGAAGCUGCGGCAGCGACACUAUGUGUUGUUGGGUAGGGGAGCGUUCUGUAAGCCUGUGAAGGUGGCCUGUGAGGGUUGCUGGAGGUAUCAGAAGUGCGAAUGCUGACAUAAGUAACGAUAAAGCGGGUGAAAUGCCCGCUCGCCGGAAGACCAAGGGUUCCUGUCCAACGUUAAUCGGGGCAGGGUGAGUCGACCCCUAAGGCGAGGCCGAAAGGCGUAGUCGAUGGGAAACAGGUUAAUAUUCCUGUACUUGGUGUUACUGCGAAGGGGGGACGGAGAAGGCUAUGUUGGCCGGGCGACGGUUGUCCCGGUUUAAGCGUGUAGGCUGGUUUUCCAGGCAAAUCCGGAAAACCAAGGCUGAGGCGUGAUGACGAGGCACUACGGUGCUGAAGUGACAAAUGCCCUGCUUCCAGGAAAAGCCUCUAAGCAUCAGGUAACAUCAAAUCGUACCCCAAACCGACACAGGUGGUCAGGUAGAGAAUACCAAGGCGCUUGAGAGAACUCGGGUGAAGGAACUAGGCAAAAUGGUGCCGUAACUUCGGGAGAAGGCACGCUGAUAUGUAGGUGAAGCGACUUGCUCGUGGAGCUGAAAUCAGUCGAAGAUACCAGCUGGCUGCAACUGUUUAUUAAAAACACAGCACUGUGCAAACACGAAAGUGGACGUAUACGGUGUGACGCCUGCCCGGUGCCGGAAGGUUAAUUGAUGGGGUUAGCGGUAACGCGAAGCUCUUGAUCGAAGCCCCGGUAAACGGCGGCCGUAACUAUAACGGUCCUAAGGUAGCGAAAUUCCUUGUCGGGUAAGUUCCGACCUGCACGAAUGGCGUAAUGAUGGCCAGGCUGUCUCCACCCGAGACUCAGUGAAAUUGAACUCGCUGUGAAGAUGCAGUGUACCCGCGGCAAGACGGAAAGACCCCGUGAACCUUUACUAUAGCUUGACACUGAACAUUGAGCCUUGAUGUGUAGGAUAGGUGGGAGGCUUUGAAGUGUGGACGCCAGUCUGCAUGGAGCCGACCUUGAAAUACCACCCUUUAAUGUUUGAUGUUCUAACGUUGGCCCGUAAUCCGGGUUGCGGACAGUGUCUGGUGGGUAGUUUGACUGGGGCGGUCUCCUCCUAAAGAGUAACGGAGGAGCACGAAGGUUGGCUAAUCCUGGUCGGACAUCAGGAGGUUAGUGCAAUGGCAUAAGCCAGCUUGACUGCGAGCGUGACGGCGCGAGCAGGUGCGAAAGCAGGUCAUAGUGAUCCGGUGGUUCUGAAUGGAAGGGCCAUCGCUCAACGGAUAAAAGGUACUCCGGGGAUAACAGGCUGAUACCGCCCAAGAGUUCAUAUCGACGGCGGUGUUUGGCACCUCGAUGUCGGCUCAUCACAUCCUGGGGCUGAAGUAGGUCCCAAGGGUAUGGCUGUUCGCCAUUUAAAGUGGUACGCGAGCUGGGUUUAGAACGUCGUGAGACAGUUCGGUCCCUAUCUGCCGUGGGCGCUGGAGAACUGAGGGGGGCUGCUCCUAGUACGAGAGGACCGGAGUGGACGCAUCACUGGUGUUCGGGUUGUCAUGCCAAUGGCACUGCCCGGUAGCUAAAUGCGGAAGAGAUAAGUGCUGAAAGCAUCUAAGCACGAAACUUGCCCCGAGAUGAGUUCUCCCUGACUCCUUGAGGGUCCUGAAGGAACGUUGAAGACGACGACGUUGAUAGGCCGGGUGUGUAAGCGCAGCGAUGCGUUGAGCUAACCGGUACUAAUGAACCGUGAGGCUUAACCUU
rnacentral:rRNA from 1 species